AAAUUCUAGGUAGAAUUAUGAUAAUGACAUUGUCUAUCUAUGUGUCUUGACCAAAUUACGUGCCAGCAGUCGCGGUAAUACGUAAAAGACUAGUGUUAUUCAUCUUUAAUAGGUUUAAAGAGUACCAAGACGGUUAAUAAAGCCCCUAAAGGGAACAAAUUAACUAGAGUUAUAUGAAAGGGGGCUUUUAGGUACUGUUGAGUGUAGAGAUGAAAUUCUGUCAUACCAGAUGAGUGGCACAGGUCUAUGCGAAGGCAUCUCCUUAUGUAAUAACUGACGUUGUAGGACGAAGGCUUUCGAAGUGAACAGGAUUAGAUACCCCAGUAGUUUAAGCAGAAAAUGAUGAAUGUCAUAGGUUAAAUACAAAAUAGUCUAUAAAUGAAAGUGUAAGCAUUCCACCUCAAGAGUAAUUUGGCAACAUUGGAACUGAAAUCAUUAGACCGUUUCUGAAACCAGUAGUGAAGUAUGUUGUUUAAUUUGAUGAUCCGCAAAAAACCUUACCACUUUUAACAAUGUUAAAAUUAUUAAUUUGAAAUUACCACUUUUAACAAUGUUAAAAUUAUUACUUUGAAUAAAUAUUUUUUAAUAUUUACAAGCGUUGCACGGCUGUCUUCAGUUAAUGUCGUGAGAUUUUGGUUAGUUCCAUUAAAUUAACGUAAACCCUUACUUUAUUUGGAUAUAAAGUUGUUCACCGUUAUAUUGGA
rnacentral:rRNA from 1 species